rnacentral:rRNA from 1 species
ACGAACGCUGUGUGGCGUGGAUUAGGCAUGCAAGUCGAACGUGAAAGGAGGGGCAACUCUCCGAGUAAAGUGGCGAACGGGUGAGGAACGCGUGGGAAAUCUGCCUUCGAGUUGGGGAUAACCAUCCCAACGGGUGGCUAAUACCGAAUGUGAUCGUCGGGGGGCAUCCUCUGGCGAUUAAAGGUGGGGACCCGAAAGGGCCUGCCGCUCGAAGAUGAUCCCGCGUCCCAUUAGCUAGUUGGUGAGGUAACGGCCCACCAAGGCUACGAUGGGUAGCUGGUCUGAGAGGACGACCAGCCACACUGGGACUGAGAUACGGCCCAGACUCCUACGGGAGGCAGCAGUCGAGAGGCUUCGGCAAUGGGGGAAACCCUGACCGAGCGACGCCGCGUGGGGGAUGAAGGCCUUUGGGUUGUAAACCCCUGUCAAGUGGGACGAAACACUCUGAGGUGAUAAGCCGAGGGGUUUGACGGUACCGCCAGAGGAAGCUCCGGCUAACUCCGUGCCAGCAGCCGCGGUAAUACGGGGGGAGCAAGCGUUGUUCGGAAUUACUGGGCGUAAAGGGCGUGUAGGCGGCCUUGUAAGUCGGGGGUGAAAUCCACUGGCUCAACCAGUGACGUGCCUUCGAAACUGCUUGGCUUGAGUAUGGCAGAGGAGAGCGGAAUUCCAGGUGUAGCGGUGAAAUGCGUAGAUAUCUGGAAGAACACCGGUGGCGUAGGCGGCUCUCUGGGCCAAUACUGACGCUGAGGCGCGAAAGCCAGGGGAGCAAACGGGAUUAGAUACCCCGGUAGUCCUGGCCCUAAACGUUGGAUACUAGGUGUAGGAGGCAUCGACCCCUUCUGUGCCGCAGCUAACGCAUUAAGUAUCCCGCCUGGGGAGUACGACCGCAAGGUUGAAACUCAAAGGAAUUGACGGGGGCCCGCACAAGCGGUGGAGUAUGUGGUUUAAUUCGAUGCAACGCGAACAACCUUACCUACCCUUGACAUGUCGCAAAGCCUGCUGAGAGGCGGGUGUGCCCGAAAGGGAAUGCGAACACAGGUGCUGCAUGGCUGUCGUCAGCUCGUGUCGUGAGAUGUUGGGUUAAGUCCCGCAACGAGCGCAACCCUUGUCCCUAGUUGCUACGCAAGGGCACUCUAGGGAGACUGCCGGUGACAAACCGGAGGAAGGUGGGGAUGACGUCAAGUCCUCAUGGCCCUUAUGGGUAGGGCUUCACACGUCAUACAAUGGCCGGUACAGAGGGUAGCCAACCCGCGAGGGGGAGCCAAUCCCGUAAAAGCCGGUCGUAGUCCGGAUUGCAGUCUGCAACUCGACUGCAUGAAGUCGGAAUCGCUAGUAAUCGCGGAUCAGCAUGUCGCGGUGAAUACGUUCCCGGGUCUUGCACUCACCG